AUGUCGGCGGUGUUACCUGAUUCACUGCCAGCUGAACAAGUUGAGGUGCUGCAGGACAAUCUGGAGUGGGAGGAUGUGCAGUGGUCGCAGACCGGGGUCUGGGUUUCUGGGAAGGAGUAUCCGCUAGCCCGUGUGCAUUUCCUAUCGGCGAACUAG
rnacentral:rRNA from 1 species